GAUGAACGCUGGCGGCGUGCCUAAUACAUGCAAGUCGAGCGAAUGGAUUAAGAGCUUGCUCUUAUGAAGUUAGCGGCGGACGGGUGAGUAACGCGUGGGUAACCUGCCCAUAAGACUGGGAUAACUCCGGGAAACCGGGGCCAAUACCGGAUAACAUUUUGAACCGCAUGGUUCGAAAUUGAAAGGCGGCUUCGGCUGUCACUUAUGGAUGGACCCGCGUCGAAUUAGCUAGUUGGUGAGGUAACGGCUCACCAAGGCAACGAUGCGUAGCCGACCUGAGAGGGUGAUCGGCCACACUGGGACUGAGACACGGCCCAGACUCCUACGGGAGGCAGCAGUAGGGAAUCUUCCGCAAUGGACGAAAGUCUGACGGAGCAACGCCGCGUGAGUGAUGAAGGCUUUCGGGUCGUAAAACUCUGUUGUUAGGGAAGAACAAGUGCUAGUUGAAUAAGCUGGCACCUUGACGGUACCUAACCAGAAAGCCACGGCUAACUAUGUGCCAGCCGCCGCCGUAA
rnacentral:rRNA from 1 species